UACGUAGGGUGCGAGCGUUAAUCGGAAUUACUGGGCGUAAAGCGUGCGCAGGCGGUUUUGUAAGCCAGAUGUGAAAUCCCCGGGCUCAACCUGGGAAUGGCAUUUGGGACUGCAAGGCUGGAGUACGGCAGAGGAGACUGGAAUUCCUGGUGUAGCAGUGAAAUGCGUAGAUAUCAGGAGGAAUACCGAUGGCGAAGGCAGGUCUCUGGGCCGAUACUGACGCUGAGGAGCGAAAGCGUGGGGAGCGAACAGG
rnacentral:rRNA from 1 species